rnacentral:rRNA from 1 species
UACGUAGGGUGCAAGCGUUGUCCGGAAUUAUUGGGCGUAAAGAGCUCGUAGGCGGUCUGUCGCGUCGGCUGUGAAAACCCGGAGCUCAACUCCGGGCCUGCAGUCGAUACGGGCAGACUGGAGUUCGGCAGGGGAGACUGGAAUUCCUGGUGUAGCGGUGAAAUGCGCAGAUAUCAGGAAGAACACCCGUGGCUAAGGCGGCUCUCUAGUAACGGUACUGACGCUGAGACGCGAAAGCGUGGGGAGCGAACAGGAUAG